GACGAACGCUGGCGGCGUGCUUAACACAUGCAAGUCGAACGGUGAACUAGUGCUUGCACUAGGGAUCAGUGGCGAACGGGUGAGUAACACGUGAGUAACCUGCCUUCAACUCUGGGAUAACUUCGAGAAAUCGGAGCUAAUACCGGAUAUGACCUCCAGAGGCAUCUUUGGGGGUGGGAAAGAAUUUCGGUUGUAGAUGGACUCGCGGCCUAUCAGCUUGUUGGUGAGGUAA
rnacentral:rRNA from 1 species